UGACACAAGAUGUCAGUAAAACAUUUGGCCACUCUCAACAAUAGCAGCAAAACUGAGAGCUUUGAUUUUUAAAAUAAACAAUUCAUACUACUAGAAAAUCAGGAAACAAUUGAAAGUUGUAAGCUGGAGAUACCAACAUACUCUUACCAGAUUUGUUCUUGCAUUCUAUAUCAUAGCCCGUGAUUAGACUAUUUCCAUCAAAUCCCAUGGUCCAUCUGAGGGCAAUGCUGCGUGCUCUCACCUCUCGGAUUUCUAUUUCUGGAGGAUCUGGGGGUUCUGGGCAAACAGACAAACUCUGUUUUAGUCAAGAGAAGGGAAGAUCUGUGUGUCAGCUACAGCAGAACUGAUGCAACCUGCAGCCACAGAAAAUUGGAGGUUGGGAGAAAGGUUGUUUGUGAGUCCUGAGUAGAUUUGACAUCUUAUCCACAAGCUCCAAGGCAUAUAGGCGUGGGAGCAAGCGUGAUAUGCAGAGCCCCAUAGCUCAUUUCUGCCUCAGCUUGGCAUUUGACAAGAGCAUCACCUCAGCCACUCCAGAACCUGCCGAAGCCUGCCUGACUACAGUUCCCCACCUCCUCACCGAGAAGUACGGUAGGGGGCACCUGGCCUGAGAAUGUACUGAGGAAUGGAGUUCAGAAUGCAAAACAACAACAAAAACCUCCACUACAGUUGCUGGGAGCUUUUCACUGAUCAGACUUGAAACAUUUUGUGCACUGUUUCUUCUUCAGAAAAAAUCAAAUAACUACUGUAUUGCUUCACCCAGUUAAGGCUGCUGCGAGCCUAAAGCCACUGAAUUAAGAGUGCACUCCUAUGCAUGUUAAGUCAGCAGUAAGCUCCAUUGAGUUCAACUCAACUUACUCCCCGUGAGCUGAAUUAUUCCACGGUCCUCCCCAUAUGAAUUGAUGGCAUGGCAGGAGAAGAAACCAGAGUCUUCUCGCACCGUUGGCAAAAUCUAUUUUGUGGAUUGAAAAGAAGAAAACAUAGUCAAUAGGCAAUAUUGAAAGGAGCAGGAGGUGGCCUACCUGAAGCAGGGGAAGAGGGGAAGACACAAAUGAUUCCUUUGCAGAGCAGUUACAGGGAGACACAGAACUUCUCCAGCAGAAAAACCAACACCCAUUCCUAUUUGCAGGAACACCUGCAUUCAGCCUCAGCUGUUUCCAGAGCUGAGAUCUGAGCAUAUAAAGCUGGGUUAUUUAUGUAUUUAUUAUUUGAUUUAUAUCCCACCCUUCCUCCCAGCAGAAGCCCAGGUUCAAUAUUCAUCCCUCACUCUAACAAUCUGAGAUCAUGAAUCAACCUUGUCAUUUGCAAAGUCUUUCCAAAAAAACUAUCAGGAUCAGUUAGUCUUACAGCAGUAUCAUAUGCAUACAU